GCCAGUAUGGAAUAGUGGUUUGAGUGCUGGACUACAACUCUGGAGACCAGGGUUCAAAUCUUGGCUCAGUCA
rnacentral:tRNA from 1 species